AACGAACGCUGGCGGCGUGCUUAACAUAUGCAAGUCGAACGCGAACGGGUUCUUCGGGACCUUAGUAGAGUGGCGCACGGGUGAGUAACGCGUAAGUUAUCUACCUCGGCAUCUGGAAUAGCUCACCGAAAGGUGUGCUAAUACCGGAUACGUUGAGUAAUCAAGAAAGGUGGCCUCUCUUUGAUGCUACCGUGCUGAGAUGAGCUUGCGUACCAUUAGCUAGUUGGUGGGGUAAUGGCCUACCAAGGCGACGAUGGUUAGCGGGUCUGAGAGGAUGAUCCGCCACACUGGAACUGGAACACGGACCAGACUCCUACGGGAGGCAGCAGUGAGGAAUAUUGCGCAAUGGGGGCAACCCUGACGCAGCGACGCCGCGUGGAUGAUGAAGGCCUUCGGGUCGUAAAAUCCUGUCAGGUGGAAAGAAAUGCAUAUGUGCUAAUACCAUGUAUGCUUGACGGUACCACCGAAGGAAGCACCGGCUAACUCCGUGCCAGCAGCCGCAGUAA
rnacentral:rRNA from 1 species